rnacentral:rRNA from 1 species
UACGUAGGGGGCGAGCGUUGUCCGGAAUUAUUGGGCGUAAAGAGCUCGUAGGCGGUUUUGUCGCGUCUGCUGUGAAAACCUAAGGCUCAACCUUGGGCUUGCAGUGGGUACGGGGCAGACUAGAGUGCGGUAGGGGUGACUGGAAUUCCUGGUGUAGCGGUGGAAUGCGCAGAUAUCGAGGAGGAACACCGAUGGCGAAGGCAGGUCACUGGGCCG